AGGGAUCAUUACAAGAACGCCCGGGCUUCGGCCUGGUUAUUCAUAACCCUUUGUUGUCCGACUCUGUUGCCUCCGGGGCGACCCUGCCUUCGGGCGGGGGCUCCGGGUGGACACUUCAAACUCUUGCGUAACUUUGCAGUCUGAGUAAACUUAAUUAAUAAAUUAAAACUUUUAACAACGGAUCUCUUGGUUCUGGCAUCGAUGAAGAACGCAGCGAAAUGCGAUAAGUAAUGUGAAUUGCAGAAUUCGGUGAAUCAUCGAAUCUUUGAACGCACAUUGCGCCCCCUGGUAUUCCGGGGGGCAUGCCUGUUCGAGCGUCAUUUCACCACUCAAGCCUCGCUUGGUAUUGGGCAACGCGGUCCGCCGCGUGCCUCAAAUCGUCCGGCUGGGUCUUCUGUCCCCUAAGCGUUGUGGAAACUAUUCGCUAAAGGGUGUUCGGGAGGCUACGCCGUAAAACAACCCCAUUUCUAAGGUUGACCUCGGAUCAGGUAGGGAUACCCGCUGAACUUAA
rnacentral:rRNA from 1 species